rnacentral:lncRNA from 1 species
ACAUCUUCAGGAAUUUGUUUAGUUCUAUACAUAAGAUAUAAUAGGAUUAAACUUUUUAAUCUAACUAUAGUAUUUUCGAUGGUGGUUAGAGACUAGAUCAAAGAGAUUAAGAAAAGAAGCGUAUUAAAGUCAAAGUAAUUCUAUAUAGGAUGGGUGACCCACUGGAUCCGAAAGGGUGAAAUAAGUCUCAGCGGAGCCAUAAUUAUAUAGUAAGUAGAGCGUGGCUUUCCGACUGAUGACUAUCUUAUAAGGUUGGCUAAGUUUAGCGAGACAAGUCUUAUAUCAUCUGGUUGUUGUGAAUGUAUUUGAUUCUGAUGAGAACGUCAGUACUUAAAUGGAAA